rnacentral:lncRNA from 1 species
AGCACCUGGUCUUCCUGUCAUAUAUGUAUAUGUGUGUAUAACACCUCUGUACUUACCGUUGCCAGGGCGUAGUCAAAGGCUCCUGGACUUUACUAUACCUGCCAGGGCGUAGUCAAAGGCUCCUGGUCUUAACUCAGAGACUAUUGGAUCAUUCAGCAUUUACUCACACCAACAAUUAACAAUGCAAUGCAACAUAUUCGUGAAUACUAAUGCAGGCAACCUAUUUGCAUAAUCAUGAUGCAUGAGAUAUGCUAAAACAUUCCAUUGUUUCAUUAAAAACAUUAAGUUUAGUUCCACUCACCUUUAGCUCUGGACUGACUCUGCAGGUUCAGUAAACUCUGGAGCAGUACUCACUGCUGCUCUCUCUGGUUCCUCUGGUCUGUAUAAGCACAUAAAGACUCAAAUGAGGGACCAAACUAUCUUAAGAAUAACUCGUUUUAAACUACCCAAGAAACCCCUUAAUCUCACUCUAAACUCAUGCAAAACAUGCAAAAGAAAAGCUGGACAGAACACUUUCGGCAGCAGGUUCGGCGGCCGAAUGUCCUCUCCAGAGACGAAACUCAAGCACCUUCGGCGGCACCUUCGGCGGCCGAAUCCCCCAAACAGAGCCGAACAUGCAAAAACACUCGGGGGCAAGCUGUGGCAACCAAGCCACCAUGCAGGAGGUUCGGCGGCCGAAUGAACUUUCGGCUGCCGAACCUGAGUUCAUCUAGAACUCAGCUUCAACGGCAACCAUCUCCUUCUUCCCUUCAAGUUCGCCAAACAUGAAUAUUUCCACUAUUCAACACACAUAUACUCACGUAUAUGUUCACAGGGGUCCAAAAACUAUCUAAUAACCCCAAACAACAAAACAAACAUAACACAUAAACAUGUAUACAUGCAUAAAACAUCAAAACUAUCAUUAAUAACCUAAGCAUGCAUCUCCUUCCUUUCUCCCCAUAAAACCUUCAGAAAACAUAUAACAAGGUCCAGAUCUUCCCUUACCGCUAUAAACAGGAAGAUGAACGUUCUGAAUCCAAGGAAAACAGAUCAACUCGUCUUCAACCGUACUAACUCUCAAAAGCUUAACUUUUGCUUCAACAUUCUCACAAUCUCUUGAACACUAGCAAACUCCUACAUGAUCUGCGCAAACUCAGCAAAUAAAUCAUGGGAGACGUGGCCAAGCUUCUGGCAACAAGGUGGACAUAACACCUGUCCAAAAUGCUGACUAAGGAUGCCCAAAAGCUGGCUGGCCAACUCAAUUUCGGCUGCCCAAUCGCAUGCAAACUCAUGCAACCUUCGGGGGCCGAACUUACCUUCGGAAACCGAACCUUGAGCACUUUCGGCGGCCGAACUUACCUUCGGCGGCCGAACUUGGCUCAACUGCCUUA